UAGCUAGUUGGUAAGGUAACGGCUUACCAAGGCGAUGAUGCAUAGCCGAGUUGAGAGACUGAUCGGCCACAAUGGAACUGAGACACGGUCCAUACUCCUACGGAAGGCAGCAGUAGGGAAUCUUCCACAAUGGACGCAAGUCUGAUGGAGCAACGCCGCGUGAGUGAAGAAGGUUUUCGGAUCGUAAAGCUCUGUUGUUGGUGAAGAAGGAUAGAGGUAGUAACUGGCCUUUAUUUGACGGUAAUCAACCAGAAAGUCACGGCUAACUACGUGCCAGCAGCCGCGGUAAUACGUAGGUGGCAAGCGUUGUCCGGAUUUAUUGGGCGUAAAGCGAGCGCAGGCGGAAAAAUAAGUCUGAUGUGAAAGCCCUCGGCUUAACCGAGGAACUGCAUCGGAAACUGUUUUUCUUGAGUGCAGAAGAGGAGAGUGGAACUCCAUGUGUAGCGGUGGAAUGCGUAGAUAUAUGGAAGAACACCAGUGGCGAAGGCGGCUCUCUGGUCUGCAACUGACGCUGAGGCUCGAAAGCAUGGGUAGCGAACAGGAUUAGAUACCCUGGUAGUCCAUGCCGUAAACGAUGAGUGCUAAGUGUUGGGAGGUUUCCGCCUCUCAGUGCUGCAGCUAACGCA
rnacentral:rRNA from 1 species